rnacentral:rRNA from 1 species
CCUACGGGUGGCAGCAGUAGGGAAUUUUGCGCAAUGGGCGAAAGCCUGACGCAGCAACGCCGCGUGAUCGAGACGCCCUUCGGGGUGUAAAGACCUGUCAGUGGGGACGAAACUUCACGGUACCCACAGAGGACUCCCCGGCCAACUCCGUGCCAGCCGCCGCGGUAAUACGGGGGGUGCAGGCGUUGUCCGGAAUCAUCGGGCGUAAAGGGUUCGUAGGCGGCACGUAAAGUCCGGUGUUAAAGGCAGAGGCCCAACUUCUGUACGGCACUGGAUACUUGCGGGCUAGAAUGCGGUAGAGGUAAAGGGAAUUCGUGGUGUAGCGGUGAAAUGCUUAGAUAUCAGGAGGAACAUCGGUGGCGUAAGCGCUUUACUGGGCCGUAAUUGACGCUGAGGAACGAAGGCCAGGGUAGCAAAUGGGAUUAGAUACCCCUGUAGUC